UCUACAUUUUAUUAAAUUAAAAAUUUAAAAUUAAAAAUACAAAACAUGUUUUUUUAUCGUGUUUUAAAUUGUCACGAGAAGUGAUUGCACUGAGUACAAUUGGCAAUGACAAUCAUGAAGGUAAAAGAUGCUGUCCUAGAUAUAUACAUUUAAUACAAAUUAAUGCAGACAAGUAUCGAUGUAUAAUGCAACCUAUUUUCCUAAUAAGGAAUAGUUAACCUUCAAUGAUUGUAAUCAUCUAUUAUUGAAUAUCGAAUGGCUUUGACUGGAAAAAUUUGUCUAAGUGUUUUAGGAUAUCGUAUUAAUUGAUUUUGCUUGGGCAAAAAUAAAUAAAUUUAAUAUUUUUAUCAUGUUAAAGAACUAUUGAACUGAGCGUCUAGACAACUUGCCGAGAAUAGAGACACAUUGGUGAACUAGGUCGUGACCUGGUUGAAAUAAAAUAAGAAAAAUAACCUAAGUGCGGGUAUCACGUGAUAAAUUAUCAUUCUUAUCAGUGAUUCGUAAUUAUAUUUCAAUUAAAAGAUAAACUUUUUUUUUAUCAAGAGGAAAAUUAUUUUCAUUUACAAGAAAUUUUUGCUAGAUUAGACACUGCUGUUUUCUUUUAUUAUUUGCUUAACUAUUUUUCUCGUCCUUGGAACUUCCUGCUGUUGAAUAAAUUCUAUAUGCAACGGAUGUUGCACUCACCGUCAAUGGCAUUGAAUCAAAUCUUACUCUACACUAACUUAUAUUGCCAGUGACUCUCUUUACUUGUGUGCUUACCGUUAGUGCGCCAAGUGCAAUAAUAAAAUUAAAAGGAAAGAAAAAAAUAAUUCAGUAGAUAGGGAUAGUUCUUACUAAAGAAUAGAAGAACAUGCAGAGAUAGCAGCAGGUAAUGAGUAAGCAACACAUAUAUGCAAAAUAUUACUUCCGAAACUCAUUACACUAAUUAUCCUAAGACAUACAUAUACAUUACGUUACAUUUCAUCAUAUUGAUGUUAUCUUUUUUAUUUUUCUCAAGAAUCUAAAGUAAAUAUUUUAGUGAAAAAAAGAAAAAAAGUCUUAUUUAAAUAUUUAUUUUGGUGUAUUAUGAUGUAAUAAGAGUUUACUGUGGUAAAGUUGAGUUUUGUAUUUAGUACAUAUGUCGGAUGAGUAACUGACGGAAAAAAAUGAGAAAAGAGAUCUACAAAAAAAUAUCGCGAGCAAUGUUCUGAAGAGAAAUAAAUAAAUGUUAAAAAACGAAGAAUUCUCAAGAAAGAAGUGGAGAAUUUAGCUGAGAGGUAUAAAGUGUUAGAAGACAUGACAAGAAAAAAAAAUAUGAGAUGAGAAAAGCUUUCGGACUUUUUGCUCCUCUCCACAGCUUCUCUGCAUUUGUCGUCAGCCAUUCUGUAUAUAUAUAUUUAUAUACGUUAGCUAAAGAUUCACUGGAAAGUAGCCAGCUUCGGCAGACUACUGUGAACUCGAUUUUCACUUGGUCAUCUCAUCGGUUAGUUAUAAAAUUUGUUAUUUAAUUUAUUAAUAAAUUCAAAAAAUAUUUUGAUUUAUAAAAAUUAAUGAAGAUUUUUAGACAUGUAUACUAAUCAAUGAAAUUUUUAAAUUCAAGAUUAAGUAUUAUUACCAGGGCCAGGAUUUUUGCUUUGAUUUGAA